rnacentral:sRNA from 1 species
GAUGAAGCAAGAGGAAGAGGUCGCUAUGCGUCAGUUCUGGUUGAGGUAUUUUGCCGCGACGGAAAAUGUGUCCUGGCUGGCUUGCCUGAGCGCGCAGCAGCGCUUAAAAAUGCUCGAAGAACUGAUGCAGUGGGAGGCGGCCGAUUGAAACCAAUUGCAGACAUCAUGUGUGACUGAGUAUUGGUGUGGGCUAUAGCCUAAAAUCACCCGCCAGCAGAUAAUACCUGCUGGCUUUUUU